GUCGGGGUAGCUCAGUUGGUAGUAGCGCGGGACUCAUAAGCCCGAGGUCGCCGGAUCGUUCCCGGCCCCCGACA
rnacentral:tRNA from 1 species